rnacentral:rRNA from 1 species
GAUGAACGCUAGCGGCAGGCCUAACACAUGCAAGUCGAGGGGUAGAAGCUUUCGGGCUUUGAGACCGGCGCACGGGUGCGUAACGCGUAUGCAAUCUGCCUUGUACUGAGGGAUAGCCCAGAGAAAUUUGGAUUAACACCUCAUAGUAUUUUAGUGUGGCAUCACAUUAUUAUUAAAGGUUACGGUACAAGAUGAGCAUGCGUCCCAUUAGCUAGUUGGUAUGGUAACGGCAUACCAAGGCUACGAUGGGUAGGGGUCCUGAGAGGGAGAUCCCCCACACUGGUACUGAGACACGGACCAGACUCCUACGGGAGGCAGCAGUGAGGAAUAUUGGUCAAUGGUCGCAAGACUGAACCAGCCAUGCCGCGUGCAGGAUGAAGCAUCUAUGGUGUGUAAACUGCUUUUGUACGGGAAGAAACACCGCUACGUGUAGCGGCUUGACGGUACCGUAAGAAUAAGGAUCGGCUAACUCCGUGCCAGCCGCCGCGGUAA